rnacentral:rRNA from 1 species
UCCUGACACAGGGAGGUAGUGACAAGAAAUAACAAUACAGGGCUAUUUUAGUCUUGUAAUUGGAAUGAGUACAAUUUACAUCUCUUCACGAGGAUCAAUUGGAGGGCAAGUCUGGUACCAGCAGCCGCGGUAAUUCCAGCUCCAAUAGCGUAUAUUAAAGUUGUUGCAGUUAAAACGCUCGUAGUCGGAUUUCGGGGCGAACCCGCCGGUCUGCCGUUGGGUAUGCACUGGUGGGCGCGUCCUUCCUUCCGGAGACCGUUCCUACUCUUAGCUGAGCGGGGACGGGAGACGGAUCGUUUACUUUGAAAAAAUCAGAGUGUUUCAAGCAGGCAUUUGCUCUUGCAUGGAUUAGCAUGGGAUAAUGAAAUAGGACUUUGGUGCUAUUUUGUUGGUUUCGAACACCGAAGUAAUGAUUAACAGGGACA